rnacentral:rRNA from 1 species
AACGAACGCUGGCGGCGUGGAUAAGACAUGCAAGUCGGACGGGAUUUUCCGUUGUAGCAAUACGAUGGAAAGUCUAGUGGCGAACGGGUGCUUAACACGUGGGCAACCUGCCAGGAAGUGGGGGAUAGCUCGCCGAAAGGCGAAUUAAUACCGCAUGUGAUUAGAGAGGACAUCCUUUCAAAAUUAAAGUCGGGGCAACCUGACGCUUCUUGUGGGGCACGCGGCCUAUCAGCUAGUUGGUGAGGUAACGGCUCACCAAGGCUUUGACGGGUAGCUGGUCUGAGAGGACGACCAGCCACACUGGGACUGAGACACGGCCCAGACACCUACGGGUGGCAGCAGUCGAGAAUUUUUGACAAUGGGGGAAACCCUGAUCGAGCGACGCCGCGUGGAGGAUGAAGGACUUCGGAUUGUAAACUCCUGUCAUUGGGGAACAAGGCGCAGAUAUUAACUGUAUUUGUGUUGAUAGCACCCGAAGAGGAAGAGACGGCUAACUCUUUGCCAGCCGCCGCCGUAA